UCAAGGCUUAUGAUUUCACCCACUAUAUUUAUCAACUCAUUUAUUAACCUAGCUUACAUAAUGUGCAUCCCAAUCCAAAUGACGAUUACAAAUGGAACAUUAACAUGACUCUCAUUCCUAUCUAGAACUCGAUGACCUCCGCUGCACGAACGCCUCCCAAGAACUGGACUACCUGGACAGCAUGACCGCCUCCCAAGGUAUGACGAUACAUGGUGUUAAUAUGAAUUUGACAUCAGAUACUGAUUCCUCCCAAUAUGUAUUUGAUUUGUCAUGUAUAACACCUAUUAGCCAAAUGUGAAAAAUAAUGGAAAUGAUCUUUCCUCCCAUCAGAUACUGAUUCGUCCCAUCCAUUGUGUUCGACGAUGGUCGAUGACACGGACGAGAACGGGAACGGAGAUCCACUACCAGGCCCCUGAAAGAAUACUACCAGGCCCCUGUAAAGUAGUGUAGUUUGAUAUUGUAAAUAGUGUUUUUUUUUCAAUAUAGUGUGACAUUGUAAAUAGUGUGCUUUUUUUUAAACUUCAAUAAAAACUCAAACAUAGUGUGACAUUGUAAAUAGUGUGC
ensembl:lncRNA